rnacentral:rRNA from 1 species
UACGGAGGGUGCGAGCGUUAAUCGGAAUUACUGGGCGUAAAGCGCACGUAGGCGGUUGGGUAAGUCGGAUGUGAAAGCCCUGGGCUUAACCUGGGAACUGCAUUCGAUACUGCUCGGCUAGAGUAUGGGAGAGGGAAGCGGAAGUUCCGGUGUAGCGGUGAAAUGCGUAGAUAUCGGAAGGAACACCAAUGGCGAAGGCAGCUUCCUGGACCAAUACUGACGCUCAGGUGCGAAAGCGUGGGGAUCAAACAGG